CCUCCUCCACCUGCUGCGGGCAGAUGAAGUGGAUGUGGGCGUCGAUGCUGCCGGCGGUGAGGAUCUUGCCCUCGCCCGCGAUCACCUCGGUGCCGGGGCCGACGACGAUCUCCACGUCGGGCUGGGUGUCCGGGUUGCCGGCCUUGCCGAUGGCCGCGAUGCGCCCGCCCUGGAGACCCACGUCGGCCUUGACGAUGCCCCACCAGUCGAGGAUCAGGGCGUUGGUGAUCACGGUAUCCAUGACCGCGUCGUCGACGCGCUGGCUCUGGCCCAUGCCGUCGCGAAU
rfam:Halomonas salina strain CIFRI 1 contig_26, whole genome shotgun sequence.